rnacentral:rRNA from 1 species
AACUUUCAACAACGGAUCUCUUGGCUCUCGCAUCGAUGAAGAACGCAGCGAAAUGCGAUACGUAAUGUGAAUUGCAGAAUUCAGUGAAUCAUCGAAUCUUUGAACGCACCUUGCGCCCCUUGGUAUUCCGAGGGGCACACCCGUUUGAGUGUCGUGAAAACCUCAACCUCCUCGGUUUCUUCUGGACACCGAAGGAGGCUUGGACUUUGGAGGCCUUUGCUGGUGUCUCUCUCUUUUGAAAGCCAGCUCCUCUUAAAUGAAUUAGCGGGGUCCUCAUU